rnacentral:lncRNA from 1 species
ACGCUUUACACAGUUAGCAACAUCAGGUCGCAGAUAAAGUAUAAUACUUUAUAUUUAUACAGUUGGACUACUGGAGGGUUAACACCAUCUUCGGUUUAUUAAUUAAUGUAAGCAUAAUAUUAAUUCUCAAGGAUCCUACAAUCUUCAAUAGGCAAAAACGGAUCUACUUAGAAGGAUAUUUAUCUUAGAAGGAUUGCCUAUAAAGCGUUAGCUAAAUAGAAAGUUUCUAAAAUGGAGGGAAUUCAAGAAGCUCCGAUCGCAAAUAACAAAAAUUAUACUAAGAAUUUAAAAAGUCAUUAUGUCCCAGACAAGACCACAAAAAAAUUGUUCAUUGAAUCUGUAACUAUUGAACUUAAUAACAGGGAAUGUUUAGUGGAGGAAAAGUCGUAUUUUACGGCUGCGAGAUGGGGGACCACUAUAAUUAAUUUAAUUUUUGAUAUUUGCUCAAACUGUCCUCUAAUUAUAUAUAUCGUAAUUUUAAUGUGGAUGUUUUAUUUGGGCAUGAAAUGAAAUUGUGGCCUAUAUCCUCGAGGAACAAGUAGAAUAAAAUCUAACCUGCUCUCGACCAUUUUAUUUUUAACAAAAUAUUAUUAAUGUUUGAAAUAUAUGCCAUGCAAGAUUAUUGAUAUUAAUAUUACAUACAAAUAUUUACUAUGAAACGGAUCUGAUUUAUACCUAUCUGCUGGAAGAGCAAAUUGAAAUGGAUUUUCUCAAUUUUAUACCGUUGUUAUUUUUGCUUGACAGAAUUUUUUUUUACAAUUCUAUGUUAUUGUAUAGUUAUUGUAUUCGUUUCAAGUGUGGUGUAAAUCAGAUUUUUGGCGCAUAUAAAUUAGUUAGUAUUUACAUAAACAUGUGUAAAUUAACUUGUGAAAAUCUAUAUUUUUAUAAAAUGUAACCAUUUCAUCUAGAAUAAUGUAUUCAAUCACAGACAAGUAACAAUAAUUUAGUUUACGUGGAUUUUACUUGUCAUUUAUGUUGCUGUAUUUUAAUGUUUUACAUUGAAAUAUAUAGCCGUUUAGCUUUA